CUUUCGUGAAUGGGGGCAUGUCCCAGCUCAUUUGGUCCUGCCACCCCACUCCAGCCCGUGGCUCCUGGGCUGGCCCAGCCCCACCGCUGCCAGUUCCCAUAAUGUGGGGCAGCUGCCCAGCACCAGCAAAGGGUGGGAGGAUUACAGUGUUACAGCUCUGGCUCAGGGAAUCCUGAGGUCUAGGCCCCUAGAAGGGUUGCUGCUCUAGUGAACAGGAGUGUGUCACCACCCUCAGCUCAGUGAGCCAGCCAGGAAAGUGUUAUAACCCUUUUCACUCCUACUGUUCAGCGGGUCCCAGGUUCUUGUCCCACAUCCAAGAAGCAUGAGGUUACACAGACACUGGAGAGUGAGCCAGGUGGAGGAGGGUUUUAUUCAAUGCAAGAACAGCUCUCAACACAAGACGGGACCCAAAGUGGGUAGCCCUCUGUAUGAGAGGGUGCCCUAACUAAGGCAGGUAGUCCCAAUAUGUGGCUGAGUCUGGGGUUUUUAUGGGCUCAGGAUCGGGGAGUGUGUGCUGACUGGUCCAUAGGCGGGCUUGGGAAAAGCACCAUUUGAUUAGCUAAAAGGCAUCGAGGAAGUUCUCACUCCUGGCUGUGGACCCCACCCUGAGCUGAUAGCCUGGCUUGAAGGUUGGGUUUCACUGGGGACCUGGCCGUUUCUGCCUAGGAAUUUGUGUGCCUCUUGCCUCUAUCAGUGUCCUUGUACCUGCCCAAGGUAGGAAUUUAAUCUGAUUGUGGGUCAAAAGACUCUAAUUCCAGAAAAUGUCCUGCCCCAUAACCUAGAGGAAGAAAUACUACACAGAGAGGCCAAGAAAAGUCUGAAUAAGGAGGUCUUUCUGGGUUUAGAACAUGGGCUUCUUGUUCAAUCACAUUUUUAAAUGGUUGUCAAUCAUGCCUAUAUAAUGAAGCCUCCAUAAAACCCCAAAAGGACAGGGUUUGAACAGUUCCUGGAUAGCUAAACAUGUGCAGAUUCCUGGGGGUUGAGCACCCAAGUGGGGCAAGGAAGCUCCACACUCCUUCCCCCAUACCUUGCCCUACACAUCUCUUCAUCUGCAUCCUUGAUAAUAUCCUUUAAAAUAAACCAGUAAACCUAAGUGUUUCCCUGAGUUCUGUGAGCUGCUCCAGCAAAUUAAAGGAACCCAAAGAAGGGGCUGUGGGAACCCCAACUUAAAGUCAGUCAGUCAGAAGAUCUGGAGGUCUGGACUUAUGACUGGUGUCUGGGGAAGCAGUCUUGGGGACUGAGCCGUCAACCUGUGGGAUCUAAGGCUAUCUCCAGGCAGAUGGUGUCAGAACUGAAUUGGAGGACACCCAGCAGGAAGAGGACUGCUUGUUUGCUGGGGAGAAGAAAUUCCCACAUAUUUCAGGGUCACAGAAGUCUUCCUCAUUGAUUGUUGUGGUAUAAGAACACAGAAAAAAAUGUUCUGAGAGUUUUUCAGGAACAAUUGAUGUUAGUGAAGUGGGAUUAGCUAGAAUGGCUCAGGUUCAGAGAAACAUUUGGUUUGAGAAGAGAAAGGAUAAAAGCCUGGGGGAUGAGAAACCCUUGAUUCCUGGGUGGCCAAACAAUCACCUGUGAUAUGAAGUCACAGUGCUCUGCUGAGUUACUAAAGGUAAAAGUUACCAAUGGAAUUUAGAGAUGGAGAAUUGGUUCACCGGAUGCAUAAGAAAAUGCAAACUAAUCAGAAAAAAGCAAACUAUUCAAUCCCUUGAUUAUUGUUAUCUAUACUAGCUAAAAUAAAAUUAAAAGAAAGUGCUGGGUUAGACCGUGACACUACAUACACCAAACUUAGAUUUCAGUGAGUCUAAGCUUCAGCCACUAGCCUCAGAACCAUGGCACAAGGGAAAAAUUAUGCAGGAACAACAGAAAGUACCUCUGAGACCUGUGGUGACCUGUGGGAGAAGGGAAGAACCAAAUAAUUAUUGAAACUAGAGGGUAUGGUGUAAAGGAACUAUUCCAUUUUGUAGAUCUGUAUCAUCCACCUCUUGAGGAACCUUUAUAAAAAUGGAUUAUGAGAAUAACUAAUUUAGGGGCAGUAUCUUUGGUUUUGAAUGCUGCAGAAUGGAAGAGCAUGUUUGGUUUGAUGCAGGACCCACAACUCAAUGCUGAACAAUUGCACAUGGGUGUACAUAAUCCAGACACACAGGAGGUUAUUCCUGAGGGAACAGCAAGCCUGAUGGACUGAAUAAAAGCCACUGUAAGAUCUGUUUACCCUGAGAAGGGGGACUGCCAGACUCCACCUAUAAAUGCCAAGUAGAACACCCCAAAUUAUGCAGCUGAUACAUUUCAUCUGUAAGCCAUGUGGGACUAGCUUUUUUUUUUUUUUUUUUUUUUUUUUUUUUUUUUUUGAGAUGGAGUCUCACUCUGUCACCCAGGCUGGAGUGCAGUGGCACAAUCUCAGACAACUGCUGCAAGCUCCACCUGCCGGGUUCACGCCAU
rnacentral:lncRNA from 1 species